rnacentral:rRNA from 1 species
UACAGAGGGUGCAAGCGUUGUUCGGAAUUACUGGGCGUAAAGCGCGUGUAGGCGGUUUUUCAAGUCCUGUGUGAAAGCCCUGGGCUCAACCCAGGAAGUGCGCAGGAUACUGGAUGACUGGAGUGGCGGAGAGGAUGGCGGAAUUCCCGGUGUAGAGGUGAAAUGCGUAGAUAUCGGAAGGAACACCUGUGGCGAAAGCGGCUCACUGGACCAUUACUGACGCUGAUGCACGAAAGCUAGGGAGCAAACAGG